CAUAAGGCAUAAGGGCAUAUUAACGUUUUUAGCAACUUUAACAAAAUUGAAAAUACCAAUACAUAUUGAUAUUAUAUAAUUAUUUUGUCAUUUUGCCAUGAUUAUUAGUUACUACAAAUUACAAUACUUAUUUCAAUUUUGUAUAAUAAUUCAACAUUGUUUUACUAAACACUAAACUCACAUUAAUAAAUAUGUUACCAGCAAUUGUUUCCUGAACAGAAGAAGGAAUUGGGAGAAAUUUUAUAUCAUUCUGAUGUCCAUGAUGUGUCUUACAAUAAGUUACAACAACGUUAUUAUCGGUGACUACUGUUCGAAUAAAAGAAGGACAGGAUUGAUCUAAUAGUCCAAUUAGAAAAAUAAAGCAUUUAAUGUUUAAAGUUAUCUAUAUAAUCUGAUCUAUUAUUAAGGAUAUAAAUUGAAUUAUUUGUACCCCUCGUUAUAAUAACACAUACCUAUUUUGCACGAUCCAGUAAUUUUUAAGGCACGUUCCCCCAUACUUUUACUAUGAAAUACUCCUGAACGAUGACAAUAGUACUUUCUUGUAGCUACAGUUUUAGUUUUAUUAAAUUUUAUCCCUCUGUGUUGAACAAAUUUAGUAGAUGAGCAUAUUUCUUCCCUCUCUUUCCAAUCAUUAAAUUCUACAAUUAAUUAACAAAAAAUGUUUAUAUAAUGUUAUUACUUCAUCAUAAAUAUAAUGUACAUCAUAUAUUUUACCUUGUAAUGAAGCAAAAUUAUGAGAAGUUAUUUCUAACUGAGGAUUAUUUUUCUCAAUUCCAGUGAAGUGGGUAACUUUUAUAUGUCGAGCUAAAUUAUAUUUUUUUUUAAAUUGGAUACUACAGUAUGCACAUUCAAAAUACAUAAUUAAAAAAAUAUAUCAAAAAUCAAUGUGCUAAAAUAUUUAAAAAUUAUCAAAUUAAAAAACGAUUUACUAAAAUAUUUAAGAACCAAUAUUAUUCAGACAUACAACAAAAUAUUCAUAUAGAAAAUGUUACAUUUAUAAAUCAGAAAGUUUCCACAGGUAAUAAAAAGUAAUAUAGAUAACAGUUGUAAAGAGGUUUUACCUGUAUUAAUUAAAUGCUGUGUGUAGGUAUGUCAAUACUGCAGACAAUGCAGUACAUAACUAUUUUAGGUAAUAAUAGAAAAAAUAUAGGGAAACGUGCCUUAAAAAUUAUUGGAUAGUGUGAAAUAGGUAUGUAAUAUAUUAUAUAUAGGUAUAUAAUUUAGAUUAUUUUUGACAAUGUACAUUAUAUUUAUGAUGAAGUAAUAAACUAAUAACAUUAUAUAUAAAUAUUUUGUUAAUUAAUUGUAGUAUUUAAUGAUUGGAAAGAGAGGGAAUAAAUAUGCUCAUCUACUAAAAUUCUUCAACACAGAGGGAUAAAAUUAAAUUAUGUAUAUAAUUAUGUAUUUCAUAGUAAAAAUAUCCCGCCUUAUUAAAUUAAAUUUAAUGUGUCCUGUUUUGCCAUUGUAUUGUAAUUUGUAGUUACUAAUAAUCAUAAAUUAAUUCUAAUGUAGAAUGAUACUCAUUAUGCAUGAAUGAACAUAUAAUGUUUAGCAAUUUUUGUAUUUGGAUAACCAUAAUUAAUUUAAAUGUACUUUUACCAAAAAAUUUAUAAAAUAUAUCCCCCCCCCCAUUGAAAUUUCCUGGGCACACCACUGUAAACAAUACCCUAAUAUUUUUAAUUUAACUUUUGGUGACCCCCCCCCCCCCAUAAAAAAAAAUCAUAAUUGCAAACUCAAUAUUAAUUAAUUUAUUAUUAUCAUCAAAUUCGUAAAUAUAUAUAUUAUUUAUUAUA